rnacentral:rRNA from 1 species
UACGUAGGGGGCGAGCGUUGUCCGGAUUUAUUGGGCGUAAAGAGCUCGUAGGCGGUUCGGUAAGUCGAAUGUGAAAUCUCCACGCUCAACGUGGAGGGGUCAUUUGAAACUGCCGUGACUUGAGUACGGUAGGGGAGUGUGGAAUUCCCGGUGUAGCGGUGAAAUGCGCAGAGAUCGGGAGGAACACCGGUGGCGAAGGCGGCAUCCUGGACCAAUAUUGACGCUGAGGAGCGAAAGCCAGGGGAGCAAACGGG